GUAGUCCACGCCCUAAACUAUGUCAACUAGUUGUCGGGGAAGAAAUUCCUUGGUAACGAAGCUAACGCGUGAAGUUGACCGCCUGGGGAGUACGGCCGCAAGGUUAAAACUCAAAGGAAUUGACGGGGACCCGCACAAGCGGUGGAUUAUGUGGAUUAAUUCGAUGCAACGCGAAAAACCUUACCUACCCUUGACAUGCUAGGAAGUCCGCAGAGAUGUGGAUGUGCCCGAAAGGGAACCUAGACACAGGUGCUGCAUGGCUGUCGUCAGCUCGUGUCGUGAGAUGUUGGGUUAAGUCCCGCAACGAGCGCAACCCUUGCCAUUAGUUGCUACAUUCAGUUGGGCACUCUAAUGGGACCGCCGGUGACAAACCGGA
rnacentral:rRNA from 1 species